rnacentral:lncRNA from 7 species
GGACGCGCCAUGAGCUAAAGCAAGGCGCAGGAAGAUGGACGCUGAGCAGCCGGGCUGGAGCACCACGACGCGCAGGGAGGCAGGCCGGGCGCGGCUGGGGCAGGGAGGAGUAGCGCGCGUAGGAGAGCUUGCCGGGGAGCAGAGAGGCAAGGGAAGGAGCGCGCGCGUAGGAGCUCUACAGCAGGGGAAGGGAGAUGACCUCGCGGGGGAUAAAUAGCCUGCGUGCGCAGAGAUAAGGAUCAGGGAGAGGGGCUUGAGCGCGGGGAGGAGGGAGGGAGAAGCCUGCGCGCGGCGCUGGAGCGGGGAGAUCGACUGGGCGCGAAGAGCUUCGGGCAAAAUCCCAGGGCGCGGGCUUGGACAAGCGUAGAGAAGAAGACAACGUCCGUAUGCGCCCACGGCUGCUCCAGGAAAAUCAACGGAGAGAGCGGCGGGAUAUGGAUAGGAGCGCGCGUAGAAGACGAGCUCGGCUGGGAAAAAUCUAGCGAGGGCGGCUGCGGGGAUAAUGCUGUGCGCUGGAGAUCGAAGAGAGGAUGAGGACGGCAUGGAGAAAAUAUCCAGGUACAAGCGACUUCAGAUAUGGAAGGGAAAUCGGUAGAAAAAUCAGCUAGGAACAAUUGAAAUUUCUUUUCAUCUAUUUUUCAACGAAAAUUAUGGAUAUUUCGAAGUCGGAUAAACUCAGCUGCGUCCCGAAUA